rnacentral:rRNA from 1 species
AUUGAACGCUGGCGGCAGGCCUAACACAUGCAAGUCGAGCGGAGCGGCGGACGGGUGAGUAAUGCCUAGGAAUCUGCCUGGUAGCGGGGGAUAAAGUCCGGAAACGGGCGCUAAUACCGCAUACUAUCAGAUGAGCCUAGGUCGGAUUAGCUAGUUGGUGGGGUAAAGGCCUACAAAGGAGACGAUCCCUAGCUGGUCUGAGAGGAUGAUCAGUCACACUGGAACUGAGACACGGUCCAGACUCCUACGGUAGGCAGCAGUGGGGAAUAUGGGACAAUGGGCGAAAGCCUGAUGCAGCCAUGCCGCGUGUAUGAAGAAGGUCUUCGGAUUGUAAAGCACUUUAAGUUGGGAGGCGUUACCAACAGAAGAAGCACCGGCUAACUCCGUGCCAGCAGCCGCGGUAAUAC